rnacentral:rRNA from 2 species
CUUAUGCGUUGUUGGGUAGGGGAGCGUUCUGUAAGCCUGUGAAGGUGUGUCGUGAGGCAUGCUGGAGGUAUCAGAAGUGCGAAUGCUGACAUAAGUAACGAUAAAGCGGGUGAAAAGCCCGCUCGCCGGAAGACCAAGGGUUCCUGUCCAACGUUAAUCGGGGCAGGGUGAGUCGACCCCUAAGGCGAGGCCGAAAGGCGUAGUCGAUGGGAAACGGGUUAAUAUUCCCGUACUUGGUGUUACUGCGAAGGGGGGACGGAGAAGGCUAUGUUGGCCGGGCGACGGUUGUCCCGGUUUAAGCGUGUAGGUGUGUGUUCCAGGUAAAUCCGGUUCACUUUAACACUGAGGCGUGAUGACGAGGCACUACGGUGCUGAAGCAACAAAUGCCCUGCUUCCAGGAAAAGCCUCUAAGCAUCAGGUAACAUCAAAUCGUACCCCAAACCGACACAGGUGGUCAGGUAGAGAAUACCAAGGCGCUUGAGAGAACUCGGGUGAAGGAACUAGGCAAAAUGGUGCCGUAACUUCGGGAGAAGGCACGCUGAUAUGUAGGUGAAGUGAUUUACUCAUGGAGCUGAAAUCAGUCGAAGAUACCAGCUGGCUGCAACUGUUUAUUAAAAACACAGCACUGUGCAAACACGAAAGUGGACGUAUACGGUGUGACGCCUGCCCGGUGCCGGAAGGUUAAUUGAUGGGGUCAGCGCAAGCGAAGCUCCUGAUCGAAGCCCCGGUAAACGGCGGCCGUAACUAUAACGGUCCUAAGGUAGCGAAAUUCCUUGUCGGGUAAGUUCCGACCUGCACGAAUGGCGUAAUGAUGGCCAGGCUGUCUCCACCCGAGACUCAGUGAAAUUGAACUCGCUGUGAAGAUGCAGUGUACCCGCGGCAAGACGGAAAGACCCCGUGAACCUUUACUAUAGCUUGACACUGAACAUUGAGCCUUGAUGUGUAGGAUAGGUGGGAGGCUUUGAAGCGUGGACGCCAGUCUGCGUGGAGCCGACCUUGAAAUACCACCCUUUAAUGUUUGAUGUUCUAACGUGGACCCGUAAUCCGGGUUGCGGACAGUGUCUGGUGGGUAGUUUGACUGGGGCGGUCUCCUCCUAAAGAGUAACGGAGGAGCACGAAGGUUGGCUAAUCCUGGUCGGACAUCAGGAGGUUAGUGCAAUGGCAUAAGCCAGCUUGACUGCGAGCGUGACGGCGCGAGCAGGUGCGAAAGCAGGUCAUAGUGAUCCGGUGGUUCUGAAUGGAAGGGCCAUCGCUCAACGGAUAAAAGGUACUCCGGGGAUAACAGGCUGAUACCGCCCAAGAGUUCAUAUCGACGGCGGUGUUUGGCACCUCGAUGUCGGCUCAUCACAUCCUGGGGCUGAAGUAGGUCCCAAGGGUAUGGCUGUUCGCCAUUUAAAGUGGUACGCGAGCUGGGUUUAGAACGUCGUGAGACAGUUCGGUCCCUAUCUGCCGUGGGCGGUGGAGAACUGAGGGGGGCUGCUCCUAGUACGAGAGGACCGGAGUGGACGCAUCACUGGUGUUCGGGUUGUCAUGCCAAUGGCACUGCCCGGUAGCUAAAUGCGGAAAAGAUAAGUGCUGAAAGCAUCUAAGCACGAAACUUGCCCCGAGAUGAGUUCUCCCUGAGACUUUAGGUCUCCUGAAGGAACGUUGAAGACGACGACGUUGAUAGGCCGGGUGUGUAAGCGCAGCGAUGCGUUGAGCUAACCGGUACUAAUGAACCGUGAGGCUUAACCUUACAACGCCGAAG